rnacentral:rRNA from 1 species
AGUCACUGACAUUAGAUACCCCCGUAGUCCCAGCCGUAAACAAUGUGCGUUAGGUGUGUCGGUAACCACGCGUUACUGAUGCGCCGAAGAGAAAUCGUGAAACGCACCACCUGGGAAGUACGGUCGCAAGGCUGAAACUUAAAGGAAUUGGCGGGGAGCACCACAACAGGUGGAGCCUGCGGUUUAAUUGGACUCAACGCCGGGAAGCUCACCGGAUAGGACAGCAGAAUGAUUGCCGGGCUGAAGACCCUGCAUGACUAGCUG